GCAGAAGAGGAGGAAGAAGGAAGAAGAAAAGCAGGGCGAUGGGGAAGAGGACAGAAGCAGCAGCAGCUCUGACAGUGACUUGGAGGAGGACCAAGGCAUUGCCAAGGAUGAUGAGAAGGAAGACAAGGAUUAGUAUUUCCGGGCUGGAGCAGUAGCACACACCCUGGGCACGCCAAGGAGGUGGAGAUGGAAAUAGCAGCUUGGGCUGGAGGGCAACUGGGCCACUCUUAGCCAAAUAAAGAUGUUGUGAUCUCCAAA